UAUGGUAAUUGGCAGCCGCGGUAAUACGGAAGGUCCGGGCGUUAUCCGGAUUUAUUGGGUUUAAAGGGAGCGUAGGCCGGAGAUUAAGCGUGUUGUGAAAUGUAGACGCUCAACGUCUGCACUGCAGCGCGAACUGGUUUCCUUGAGUACGCACAAAGUGGGCGGAAUUCGUGGUGUAGCGGUGAAAUGCUUAGAUAUCACGAAGAACUCCGAUUGCGAAGGCAGCUCACUGGAGCGCAACUGACGCUGAAGCUCGAAAGUGCGGGUAUCGAACAGG
rnacentral:rRNA from 1 species